UACGUAGGUGGCAAGCGUUGUCCGGAUUUAUUGGGUUUAAAGGGUGCGUAGGCGGUCCUUUAAGUCAGUGCUGAAAUACUCCAGCUUAACUGGAGGGGUGGCAUUGAUACUGGGGGACUUGAAUGAAGUCGAGGUAGGCGGAAUUGACGGUGUAGCGGUGAAGUGCUUAGAUAUCGUCAAGAACACCGAUAGUGAAGACAGCUUACUAGGCUUAUAUUGACGCUGAGGCACGAAAGUGUGGGGAUCAAACAGG
rnacentral:rRNA from 1 species